UGGGGAAUUUUGGACAAUGGGGGAAACCCUGAUCCAGCCAUCCCGCGUGUGCGAUGAAGGCCUUCGGGUUGUAAAGCACUUUUGGCAGGAAAGAAACGUCGCGGGUUAAUACCCCGCGAAACUGACGGUACCUGCAGAAUAAGCACCGGCUAACUACGUGCCAGCAGCCGCGGUAAUACGUAGGGUGCAAGCGUUAAUCGGAAUUACUGGGCGUAAAGCGUGCGCAGGCGGUUCGGAAAGAAAGAUGUGAAAUCCCAGAGCUUAACUUUGGAACUGCAUUUUUAACUACCGGGCUAGAGUGUGUCAGAGGGAGGUGGAAUUCCGCGUGUAGCAGUGAAAUGCGUAGAUAUGCGGAGGAACACCGAUGGCGAAGGCAGCCUCCUGGGAUAACACUGACGCUCAUGCACGAAAGCGUGGGGAGCAAACAGGAUUAGAUACCCUGGUAGUCCACGCCCUAAACGAUGUCAACUAGCUGUUGGGGCCUUCGGGCCUUGGUAGCGCAGCUAACGCGUGAAGUUGACCGCCUGGGGAGUACGGUCGCAAGAUUAAAACUCAAAUGAAUUGACGGGGUCGAUANCUGUUUCCU
rnacentral:rRNA from 1 species